GUGAGGAAUUUUCCGCAAUGGGCGAAAGCCUGACGGAGCAAUGCCGCGUGAAGGAUGAAGGCCUAUGGGUUGUAAACUUCUUUUCUUAGAGAAGAAUAUUGACGGUAUCUGAGGAAUAAGCAUCGGCUAACUCUGUGCCAGCAGCCGCGGUAAGCCAGAGGAUGCAAGCGUUAUCCGGAAUGAUUGGGCGUAAAGCGUCUGUAGGUGGCUUCAAAAGUCUCCUGUCAAAGAUCAGGGCUUACCCAUGGGCCGGCAGGAGAAACUCUGAGGCUAGAGUUUGGUAGGGGCAUAGGGAAAUCCCGGUGGAGCGGUGAAAUGCGUAGAGAUCGGGAGGAACACCAAAGGCGAAAGCACUCUGCUGGGCCACAACUGACACUGAGAGACGAAAGCGAGGGGAGCAAAAGGGAUUAGAUACCCGAGUAGUCC
rnacentral:rRNA from 1 species